CUACGGGCCGCUGCAGUGGGGAAUAUUGCGCAAUGGGCGAAAGCCUGACGCAGCAACGCCGUGUGAGGGAUGAAGGCUUUCGGGUCGUAAACCUCUGUCGGAAGGGAAGAACGGGCAUUGGUCUAAUAGGCCUUUGUUUUGACGGUACCUUUAGAGGAAGCACCGGCUAACUCCGUGCCAGCGGCCGCGAUAAUACGGAGGGUGCAAGCGUUAUUCGGAAUUACUGGGCGUAAAGCGCACGUAGGCGGCCUUGUAAGUCAGGGGUGAAAUCCCACGGCUCAACCGUGGAACUGCCUUUGAAACUGCAGGGCUUGAAUACUGGAGAGGGUGGCGGAAUUCCUGGUGUAGGAGUGAAAUCCGUAGAUAUCAGGAGGAACACCGGUGGCGAAGGCGGCCACCUGGACAGGCAUUGACGCUGAGGUGCGAAAGUGUGCGGAGCAAACAGGAUUAGAUACCCUCGUAGUC
rnacentral:rRNA from 1 species